AUCACUUCAUUAAUAUAUUCAUGCAUAGAAUGCCCUCAUUAAUGGGAGCAAAUAGGUUUCAACAGUGCCAUCUAGUGGCAAAAAAGAGAUUACAAUUACAGAAAGUGGUUCACAAUAGCACCAUCUAGUGGCAGAAGAUUAUAGGUUAGUUCAGUCAGGUAGGUAGCCUUUGGUUCUACAUCUCCCCUGAUGCUUUGCCAGAAUAAUGGAUGUAAGUGUAUUAUGGGAAAUGAAGUCUGUCGGGAGUGUGAAGGUGGCCAUAUCUUUUCCCAUUGUUUUUCAAUGCAAUGUUCAUGUAGUUUUUAUUGCGUAUUUGCAGUCUGUUAGUAUUUUACGUGGGAUUAUUCAUUUUUGGGGAUAUAGAAUCUGUUGGGAAAACUUGUGCAUUUUAAAACAUGUUUAUUGCUCCCCGUUUCCCAUCUUUACAUACCUAACGCCAUCCCAUCUAGUCCAUGCAAUAUCUCCCAGUUAGCUUCCUUUAUAUCAUUCCUUACCAUCGUCCCCAAUUACCUCCUCAACCUCGUCAUAUUUUAGCAAUCUGUGCAAUGUUACCUUCAAACCUGCCCCAAGUCCCUUUCGUAAUCUUUAGAGCAAAACAAAACUACAACUCCCAUGAUGCGCUGCAUGCCUUCAGAAUGACAAAGCAACCUGGAAGCGGUUGUUUUAAAACAUCUGGGGAUCUACCUUUUGGAUACCCCCGCUUUAGAGUGUAAGCUCACGGUCCAUUUUGCUCAGUACUUGGUGUAAAUGCUAGAUCUGUAUUGCGUUGUGUAUACUGUACUGUCGGUAAUAAUAUUAAAGGAACACUAUAGUCACCUAAAUUACUUUAGCUAAAUAAAGCAGUUUUAGUGUAUAGAUCAUUCCCCUGCAAUUUCACUGCUCAAUUCACUGUCAUUUAGGAGUUAAAUCACUUUGUUUCUGUUUAUGCAGCCCUAGCCACACCUCCC